AGCAGUAGCCGCGGUAAUACGUAGGUGGCGAGCGUUGUCCGGAAUUAUUGGGCGUAAAGCGCGCGCAGGUGGUUUAAUAAGUCUGAUGUGAAAGCCCACGGCUCAACCGUGGAGGGUCAUUGGAAACUGUUAAACUUGAGUGCAGGAGAGAAAAGUGGAAUUCCUAGCGUAGCGGUGAAAUACGUAGAGAUUGGGAGGAACACCAGUGGCGAAGGCGGCUUUUUGGCCUGUAACUGACACUGAGGCGCGAAAGCGUGGGGAGCAAACAGGAUUAGAUACCCCAGUAGUCCCUGUCUCUUAUAA
rnacentral:rRNA from 1 species